ACAUCUUGAAAAUAUUAGUGAACUGAAUGAAAAAAUUAGUGGACUUCAAAGAGAACUUGAAUGGAGAAAAGCCCUAGUUUGUCCAACGAAUGUGACCCUGGAUCCAAACACAGCAAAUGCCCAGCUCAUCGUGUCUGAGGAUGGGAAAAGCGUGAGGCGUGGAAUUGCACGGCAGGAGGUGCCGGACAAUCCAGAGCGAUUCCAUUCUUUCUGUU